CGGGGCUGGGAAGCAGCUGCCCCCUCUCCAGGCACCUUGGGGGUCCCCCAUUCAGGAAGGGGACCAUCCACAUCUGAGCUUUCCCUAUUAUCGGGAGGCUGAGGCCAGUAGGGCAGAGUGACUUAUUCAAGGUCACUCAGCCGGAAAGCCUCUCAGACAGGAUCCAACUGCAGCCUUGGGGACUUGCAUUGGGGGUGCUGUCAUGACCCCACCCAGGGCCAUGCCCCUGGCCCUGUGCUUCCUGCUCCUUCUUGACUUUUGUUCUCAGAUAAACAUUGGAUCGAGUCAUUCACACUAGUAUAAAUGAGGCUCAGUCCCAAGUCUGUGAUAACCGGCGGUCCUAGAGACCUUCUACAGUAGCCUCUUGUUUGCUGACCAGUGAAGAGGAGGACCAGAGACUCACCCAUGGCCACUCAGCCAGGCAGGACAGCACAGGACAGGACUGAAACCCAGGGUCCUCCUGGGGCAGCAGCUUCCUCCCAGAAGUGGUUCAUGGUGGAGCCCCAGGCAUUGUCUCUCAAGAAACGGUCUGCAGAACAUGGAAGUGAUGGCUGGAGCUGUGGCAGCCAUUUUGCACCAUGAGACAAACUUGUGGCAGCAGCCAUAUAUAAAAGAUGGAGGAGCAGAAAGACAAAAGGAAUCCGGAUAUCUCAUGACCACUGAAUCAUCAUCACACCAGCCUUGCAUCAUCUGCCUCUGGUGCUGAGGACCCCUGCUUUUCUGAGCUCUGCCGGACACCUCUCUGAAUGCCCAAAGCGCCCCUGACUGAGUCUGCAAAACUCAGUGCGUGGCCUCACCAUGGCCUCAGCCACCCAAGACAGGAACAGGGGCCGCUUCAACUCUUUCCUUCCCUCUUCCCUGUCCCCGCCCCUGGCUGCCAGGCCCUGGAGAUUCAGCCUUUCUCAGGCCUGGCCACCUCCCUGCAUCCUCACCAUCACUUUGCUGGUACCAGACACUACCAUGUCUCACUUGGACAUCUGCGAUCAUCCCUUCCUGUGCCUCCUGAGUCGAUGCGGAUCCAGCCCGGCCUAUCCCACAAACACGGCGAGUGUGACCUUUUAAAAUCACAGACCAGGCCGGGUGCGGUGGCUC
rnacentral:lncRNA from 1 species